rnacentral:rRNA from 1 species
CACGUAGGGCGCAAGCGUUGUCCGGAAUUAUUGGGCGUAAAGAGCUCGUAGGUGGUUUGUUACGUCUGCUGUGAAAUCCUAGGGCUUAACCCUGGGCUUGCAGUGGAUACGGGCAGACUAGAGGUAGGUAGGGGAGAAUGGAAUUCCUGGUGUAGCGGUGAAAUGCGUAGAUAUCUGGAGGAACACCGGUGGCGAAGGCGGCAUCCUGGACCAAUUCUGACGCUGAGGAGCGAAAGCCAGGGGAGCAAACGGG